rnacentral:lncRNA from 1 species
GCCGUUGAGGAGCUGCAAAAGCGAGAAGUGAAUAACUCGCGGUUCGGGACAAGGGCUCUAGAGUUCCUGCCCGCCUGCUGCAGCGGCGCCCAGAGCCACCGAACACCCUCUCUCCCUUCCUUGGCUGCGCUCUCUGACCUCGGUGCUUGUCUCGGCCCCGCAGGCCCAGCAACUGCGCAAUCACGCGGCAGGGCGGGGGAUACCGCACCCGACUGGAGAGGGCCAGGGCCAGGGCGAGGGCCAGAGCGGCCGUCGAGUCCCGGACGAGAGUUUGCGGCGGGAGGUUGCUUCUUCCCUUACAGGGCGCUGUCCGAUUGACGACCGCGGCCCACCCGGAGCGAGGCUCCUUGAGAGCUUGGCCUCACAUAGAGGAAAUCCUCAAUAACGUUCCCCAGGAAGAAGAAACAGGCCCAAGCCUCCCCCAAUAAGUUGAGGAAGAGGCGGGCGAAGGGACACGGCGAGGACAGACUGGAGUUCCUUCAUCAGCCCAACAUUUGACAAUUAAUGGCGGGAGGUGGAGGGGAAGAAGGCCCUUGUAAGUCAGGGAUAUGUGGAACAGCUGAAAUAAUACUUUUUUUUUUUUGCUUUAUUUCAAAGUUUUGGGCAGGACACCUCAAGCCCCACACUCUACACUCGUCCCUGUCAUUCCUCAAAAUCCUGAAGAGCUAGCGCCCUGCUGCUGGAGAGGUCUGCAGCUGUUUCACAUCACCCCAGUGUGUCUCAGACCGCCGUUGGGGGAGAUCAGAGAGGGAUGGGGCGAAGGUGGAGAACAAAGCAGCUUGCGGGCUAGCUGCGGCCUUCCAGGGCUCCUGGAGAAUAGGGGCUGAGACCCUUCGAGGCUCCUCCGGAUUCAGGCCUUAUUUUCGAGGGCGGGAGUGGAAUGGGUUGAAGACGAAGUUCUAGAGCCGGGAUCCUCUCACUUCGGCAGCUCGGACUUCGUGAUCCUGACUCUUCUAGCUGCAGGUCACACUUGAUGAGUGUUAAGCGGGUUUUCCCACUUCCCGCCCUUUGCUCCGCUCCAGGAUCCCACCCAGGCACUACUGCUGCGCUCCGCAGGCUGCAAAGACGCGGCAGGACGAAUCCUCCAGCAAGGGGGAGGUGGUCUCCGCCCGCCCAGCGACUCGACGCUCUCCAGCAGCGCUCGCACACCCAACUUUUCCGGCUUCGGGUGUAGGACGCGUGCGCGCACUCCUGGUUGCUGGGGGCGGAGCGGGGGCGGG